GGGGCUGAAAUUUAUGCUCGACGUAGGACUUUAUCGGUUGGAUCAGCAGGUCGCUUAUCAGCGUUAUAGGUAAACCCAAAGUAAUUGCAAAUCGUGAUUCUUUGAUUGCAGAGCUAAAGGAGCGUUUGUUCCCACAGCCUGCACUCGUUGUAGCUUAAUUGUUUACAACCAUGCUUUUCAUGACACCUUGUAGUGAAAGUGCGUGUUAUAUCCAAGGUUGCCUACGCUUAAGUUGACUCCUUAAACGUAGUAAGACUUCUAGAGUCUGCAGAAUAGGUUGUUUUGUCUGUUUAUAGAUCUAUUCUCAAGUUUUUUAAACAGACUAUGCCUGUAGAAGACCAAUCAAGAUAAUCCCGCGGACGUGGGUGCAAUACCCACCAGCUCCACCA
rnacentral:tmRNA from 1 species